GCCCGUUUAGCGUAGUGGUUAACGCGCAUCACUGUAAAUGAUGAGAUCCAAGGUUCGAAUCCUUGAUCGGGCU
rnacentral:tRNA from 1 species